UCCGGCUUAUCACCGGCAGUCGCCUUAGAGUGCCCAACUAAAUGAUGGCAACUAAAGACGAGGGUUGCGCUCGUUGCGGGACUUAACCCAACAUCUCACGACACGAGCUGACGACAGCCAUGCAGCACCUGUGUUACGUCUCCCUUUCGGGCACACCCAGCUCUCGCUGGGCUUCCGUACAUGUCAAGGGUAGGUAAGGUUUUUCGCGUUGCAUCGAAUUAAUCCACAUAAUCCACCGCUUGUGCGGGUCCCCGUCAAUUCCUUUGAGUUUUAACCUUGCGGCCGUACUCCCCAGGCGGUCGACUUCACGCGUUAGCUUCGUUACUGAGAGUGUCAAACCCCCAACAACCAGUCGACAUCGUUUAGGGCGUGGACUAC
rnacentral:misc_RNA from 1 species